ACCUGGGUGGCUCAGUCGAUUGAGCGUCUGACUUAGGCUCAGAUCAUGAUCUCAUAGUUUGUGGGUUCGAGCCCCGCGUCGGGCU
rnacentral:tRNA from 1 species